CCUGUGGCUCUCCGGAACAAUAAACCCCCGGCCCCAGUGAUGUGGGCCAGACCGGACCUGGAGAGGCGGCACCGCGACCCCUCCCGCAACCCGCCUGGCGGCCGGGGGCAGCGUGACCCGGCCCGCUACCGUGUCACAGCUGACGACUGACAAACAGCAGGCGACGUCGGGAGAACUCCCCGAGACACACGAGACAUCAGCCUUCUCGCUCCGCGGCCCUGCAGGACCUGCCCGCCGGGAGCCCCGGAGUCCGCGGCAGCGCCGAGGGCCCCUCCCCCAGGCCUCUGGGCUCUGAGGCUCAUCCAUGGAAUACCAAUUCUUUUUCUUAGUGUUCACAUUGGAUUUUUCUGUUAAAAAUAGAUUGUUGGAGUUGGCUAACAAGUUGAUGACUUCCAGUCAGGCACUCUCUUCUGUAAAGUCUCUUUUGUAAACUCCUACAAGCAGCUAUUUCACUGGAUUUGAAAAGACUGACUAAAAAGAACCAUGCACUGUGACUCUCAAGUAUACAGGAAUAUUGUUAUUAGGUAAUUUUUUUUUCAAUAUGCGUUAACCUUGUCUUCC
rnacentral:lncRNA from 1 species